GGCCUGAAUGGAACGAAAAGGUGGAGGAAGGUUGAAUUGUCUCUGGCUGACUGCUGAGCUGGGACAUCCAUCUUCUCCUGCCCUUCAUGUCCUUGUUCUCAGCCUGGAGUCUCUACCAUGGGCUCCCUGGCUCUCAGGCCUUCAAACUAUACCACCGGCUUUCCUUCCUGGGUCUCCAGCUCGCAGACGGCAGAUCGUGGGACUUCUGUAAUCAUUUUUUUCAAUCCAGGUUUUCAAUCCUUUGUGACACAGAAUCAAGGUACUUGGAAGAGAGUGUUGGAACCAGAGGCGAAGCUGAGUUACAUUCAGAAGAGGGAGGACUAAUGCUUACCUUACGGUCCCCCAUGCCACAUUUACCAGUAUUCAUGUCCCUCCCCCAGUGACUGGCUUCAACUAGCAAGACAUUAGCAAGGGUGAUGCAAGGGGAGGCUUGCUGAGCUCUUGCACAAUGGGGCCUGUCCUCUUGGAAUUUUGCUCUUGUGAUGUACUCCCUUGGAACCCAGAAAUCAUACUGUGGCUGCCCAAAUUAGCAGUACGGAGAGGCCACUGGUUGGAGCACUGAGGCCCUAGCUGACACCCAAUCUGAGCUCCCAGCCAAUAGCCAGCCUCAGCUUGCCAACAAUGUAAAUGACGCAUCUUGAAAGUGGGUCCUCCAGCCUCAGUUGAGCCACAACAACUGGUGCCCAUGGAGCAGAGAAGAGCUGUCUUCACUGAGCCCUGCCUAAAUUCCAGAAUUAUGAACAAAUAAAUGUUGCUUCAAGCCCGCCAAGUUUUGGGUUAGGUUUGUUAUGCAGCCAUAGGUAACAUUCUAACUACACGCAGUGCACAGUGGUAGUUUCUAUUGUAUUCAAUUCUAUCUUAUUUGUCAAGAUGGUAAAUUGAUUUCAUGACUUACUAAUGAGUCAUGAUCCACAAUUUGAAAAGUGCUGCUCUAAUCAAUGGCAGAUGUGUUUGAGACAAUCUGUUUUCCAACCUCUCCCUCUAUCCUGCUGCUCUUAGCCUCUGUGACAUGAAAGAGAUGAGAGGUAAUCUCAAGAUGUCACCCAGUCCAGGGCUGUGUCUCACAAAGGGCUGCCCCUAAAGCCAUCUGGGUCUCCAGGUAAACAAUUCUAUUCAGUAGAUAAUUUUACUCAGGAAUUAUUUAGCCCUUUUGUAUGCCUGGCUCUGAAUCCUGCAAGCACAG